CAGUAGCCGCGGUAAUACGGAGGGGGCUAGCGUUGUUCGGAAUUACUGGGCGUAAAGCGCACGUAGGCGGCUUUGUAAGUUAGAGGUGAAAGCCCGGAGCUCAACUCCGGAAUUGCCUUUAAGACUGCAGAGCUAGCAGGUGAGAGAGGAGAGUGGAAUUCCACGUGUAGCGGUGAAAUGCGUUGAGAUCGGAAAGAACACCAACGGCGAAAGCACUCUGCUGGGCCGACACUGACACUGAGAGACGAAAGCUAGAGGAGCAAAUGGGAUUAGAGACCCCCGUAGUCCCUGUCUCUUAUAC
rnacentral:rRNA from 1 species